AGAAGAUUAGGUUAUAUUUUAAACCAGGGGCCUUCAAAGCCCCCAAAAAAGAUUUCUUUAUCUUCUG
rnacentral:tRNA from 1 species